CUUAAAAACAUAAAAAUUGUACGAUAAAAUAUAAUUAUAGUACAUAUUCAAAUAGAAAAAAGGGAAUAAUAAAAAACAGAAAUAAAAAAAUAUUUGUAUUGCUCUUUCCAGCAAGUGUUAUUUUAAGGCUUUGCAAAAUGCGGGAAAAGAUUAUAUGGACUUAAUUUCGAAUGGCAGAUGAUUUUGAUUUUUUUGCAUUUUAUAUUAUAGAGUUUUUAAUCAUCUCUGACCUUAGGGUCGGAGAAUAAAGAUCAUGCUCCCCGUUCCUAAGUGUGUAAUUGUGAGACAGCAUUUCUGAAAUUGCUGAUACAUACUUGCAAAUUAAGCAAAACUGAUUCAAAUAUGAAUAAAGAAGGAAAAGUUCAUAUUUUAUAUUUUUUAAAGAAUUUUUUACGGAGAGUCCUACUACUUAGCCUUAGCGAGUAACGAACCUCUGUUUCGUAGUUUAAAAAAAGGUAAGAACAUAUCGGCGAUGCUACUCAAAAACGGCAUAAUAAACUGAUCUAGACGCUGUCAGUUUUAUCUCCCUGACCGACUUAAGUGUAAAACAUGUAGCGUUAAAUUUUUUGCAUAAGGCAUCGAUGUGCAAAUUUCAUUUUUAGAAUUUGUCUACAAUAAGUACCAAAAACUUAAGAUAUUCAACGAUAGCUACACUGGAGUUUUAAGUGCAAAAGGCUCUAAGAUAUUUUUAAAUGACAAUACUUUAAUUUUGAAAACAUUAAGGCACAGAAGAUUUAACUCGCACUAUAAUUUAAUAAUGACUAGGUCGUCAUCUGAUACGGGUUUGUGUAGUUCCUUAACAUCUGGGUUGCUCCAAGUAAGAUUUGUAUUAUCUGCAAAGAGACAAAUUUUACCGCUGAUGUCCAGACUAGCGAUAUUAUUUAUAAGGAGUGGAAAUAAAAAAGGCGCUAGAACUAAACCUUGAGGUACUUCACAGUCUAUCGGUUUACAAGAAGACGUCAUCAUAUCAACCCUUACAAUCUAACUUAUGAUUAAGAUAUGACUUAAACCUUUCGAGAGGUGUUGCUUUGAACCCGUAGUGGUGCAACUUAUUAAUUAAGAUAUUAUGAUUUACAUAGUCGAAAGCUUUAGAGAAAUCGCAGAAAAUUGUAGCUGGCGAAUGAUCCCUAUUUAGACAGGGGUAUACUCUAUUAAAAAGAGAAAACAUAACAUCGUUGGUGCAUUUGUUAUUCAAGAAUCCAAAAUUGGUAGGGUAUAAGUAUAUUAUAUUUAAACAAAAAAGAAAUAAGUAUGUUUUUAAUCAAUAUUGCUAUGAUCAUAUGCAUAUGAUUAUAUAACGUAGAAAGGGGUGUAAUUGGACGAUAAUUUGAAACUUGAUCUCUAUCUCCUCUUUUAUGCAACGGAAUAAUAAUUUCCGUCUUCAGGCAGCUUGGAAAAAGCUCCAUUUUGAAAUGACUUAUUAAUUACAUUCGUAAGAUGGUUUAAGGCGCAUUCUAGAAGAUUUGAAAACAUUUUCAUGGUAAGCCGAUCUUUUCCAGAUGAUGUUUCGUUCGUAAUAUAAUUUAUUAUACUGCGAAGCUCUGCUAAUACUAUAGACGUAAAAAAGAAACUGUAUAAAUUCUCAUUAGGAGUGCAUAUAAGUGGAUCAUUAAUUGACAGGAGUGAUGGCAUUCAUUAAGUUUUUUGCAACACUUACAAUAGGUACUCAGGUGAAAUAAGAAAUGUUUGGGAAAUUAAUGGGUCGGAGGAAAAAGCGAGCGAAUUUUUAAGUUAGGUGUAUUUUUGCUAAGAAACAUUAUAUGUCUUCUUCUUCUUCUUCCUUCGUGUCUCCCUCAGACAAUUUCCUUAGGAGACGGUUAUGGCUAUUCAAACCAAUUUUUGUGUCCUUGUCUCUAGUAUAUGUAUACUGAGCGAGGGGUUCUAUUUCAAACUUUUACACUUUCGCCCCACUGUGUAGUGAGGCUACGACUUUUCAGUUUCGGAGCACAGUAGUCUGCCUCUUCCACGAUGCAUCCGGCAUCAUCCGGCUUGGAUACCGGCGUGAAUAGGAUAAGCUAACCACUGGCUAGGGUUGAAAAUGGUUCUGGGAAUUCGUUUAGAGGGAAAGAACAACCACGUGUUGACUGGGUGAAAGGUGACCCGGAAGUGAACAUUAUAUAUAAAUAUCCCAUUAACUUAAUAGCUUCAUAUUAAUUAGUUUGAUAAUUUUUAUCUCUUACCUAGAAGAAGAGAAAGAAGAAAAUUUAUCUAGUAGCAAGCUCCAAGCUUGUCCGUUUUAGAAGUAGCAAGAAGGCUAAGCCUUCUUAUACAUUUCUAAGUUUUUUAAAUAUUAACAAUUUUUUUUGCUAUUCUACAACAUUCAAUAUACUCGAUAGCAUCAAUAUACAAGGACUGAACAUUUCAUUUAUAAUAAAAAUACCGACCUUCAUAAUAUGCUUCUUUUCUCCUCGUUACUGAGAAAAGAAGGAUGGUAAUUAGGUUAGGUGAUAAGUAAGUUCUUACUUACUUUUUACAUUGUGGCACUACAUGCAUUUUUUAUAAUGUUCUUUGAUAAUAUUCUUUACGAGAUUUUGUAAGAACGAAAUUAUACGUACGCUUUUCCCCCCUAUAUGUACUGUCAUGUCGUACCUGUCAUCAAUUUUUUGUACUUAUCGGAUUUAGAAAUAAUGUGAUUAAUUAACGAGUGGUAUUUGGUGUAAAAUUGAACUACUUAAGAGACCCUGCCUAAAGAGUUUUAUUAGAAAUCAUUGCGGUCUAAUAUAGUCUAUGAAAAUCAAAAUGGUCCUUGAUAUAUCCAAGUUUUACUUCGGAUAAUAAAUUUGUAUGUGAAGAUUGUGGAAAGUCAUUUUCUUCCACUUUAACAUCGUAUCGGCAUAUGAGGGCCAUACAUAAUAAAAAACAGAGUGAAAAAGAGAGCCUACACAUUAUUUGCCCCCUUUGCCUGGACAAAGAGAAGUUUACAUCAUAUGAUUCUUUAAUUAGACACUUUCAUAGUAUUCAUAAUAUACAUAUUAAAGAAUCUGUUUUAAAUUUUAGGAAUUUGGCAGAGUUUGAAAUUUGAAAUUAGGUCUGCAGAAAACAGAGAGGUAGAUUAUGCUGUUCACCGAAGAAAAAAUGUCCUAAUGGAGAAGAAUUUAUUUACUAUAAUUGUAAUAGAAGUGAUUCAAAAGGAUAUGUCAGUACAUGUUUGCAAUAUAAUUUAAAGUCUAAAGGAAGCAUUCGUAUUCAAGGAAUUUGUCCAUCAAGAAUAAUAGUUAAAAUUCUAGUAGAUGGAGUGAUUAGAGCAAGAUUUUUUGAAACCCACGUAGGACACCCUGACGAAUUAAGAAGCAAAAGGCUAACAAAAUCGGAACAGGAGAUAAUUGUGGAUAAAUUAGCAGCAGGAGUUUCAAAUAAGAAAAUUAUUCAGGAGGCCAGAAGCAUAGACGGCAAUAAACUAGUAGCUAAUACGAAAAUUUAAUAUUGACCAGAAAAGGGACGGUGAUGAUAUGAUAGCCACAGUGUUAAAAAUUCAGGAAUGGAACAGUGGUGGAAAAAUAAUGGAUUUUUAUUUAAAUAUAUAUAGAUAGGAGAAAAUUAUCCAGGAUUAGAAGCUGAUUUUGCAGUUGGAUAUAUGAAUGCUAUUAUGGAAAAAAUUUAGAGAUUUUCCAAAAAUAAUCUGUAUAGGUGGAACUCAUGGAACAAAUAGGAGAAACUGGGACUUGACAAUUGUGCUAAUAAGAGAUGAACAAAAUAUGGGUUUUCCAGUGGCAUCCUUACUUAGUAACAGAUUAUAUCAAUUAAUUUAAGAGUUUUUUUAGGGCACUUAAAACUAGAUUAGGGGAAGCAGUUCAAGCUAAAUAUAUAAUGAGUGACGACGAUCCAAAAUAUUACAAUGCAUGGAUAAUGGAUAUUUGUAGAGCAUAAACCAAGAAGAUUACUACAGCUGUAUAUAAUUUAUACAGCUGAAAGAGAACUAUUUUAGGCAAUUAGAAGAAGAGGAGGAAACUAAUUUUCAGAAUUACCUGAAAAAGUACUUCACUAAAAAAGCCAACACUAAAAAAUUAUAAAACAAAUGUAAUUAAUUUUCUAAUAUUUUGGGUACUAUUUCCAAAGUCAAGAGAGAAUAAUGAUGUGGGCGCAUAGAAUCAAUGCCGGAAUUAAUACAAAUAUGGCAAUUGAAAUCUUAAAUAAAGUUCUGAAGUACAACAAAAUGAAUGGAAAGCAGAAUAUUAGGAUUGAAAAACUGUUGGAUUUACUGGAUGAACUUGUUGAUGAAAGAAUGUGGAAAAGGAUUAUAAACAUGGAAAGGCCAAAUGCAAAUAAUUAUCAGCACAAAAUAUGUCAGAGUGCACAUAAAAAAGCAGAAGAAAUGGUGGGUAAUAACGGUAAUGUAUCAUAUUCUUAAUUAGGACAUUUUAAGGUUAGGUCGUUUAGUGAUAAUCAUGAAUUGUAUUGUGUAAAUUAUAAUGGGGUUUGUGAUGAGCACUGUAGUGCAAUGUAUUGUGAGAAGUGUAAAAUAUGUAUACAUAAAUAUAAUUGUGAUUGUCCAGAAUAUACUGUUAAAAGUGCCAUGUGUAUUGCCAUGUGCCAAGCAUAUACAUGCUGUAGCUUUAUUUGAGCAGAGGAGCGAAUAUGUUUCAGGUUUCAUGUAUGAAAUGCAAGAAGAUAAUAAUCUGUAUGUCAAUGAACUUUCAACAAGCAAGACAGUUUAUGGGGAUGAAGUAAAUCAUUUUCUUGACGAGACUGAAAAUAGAAUGAAUGUGACAAUUGAUUUUGAAAAAAAGCGUGAGAUUUGUCUAGAAUAGACUUGUGCUCUGAAAUUCGUAAUUAUGGUGAUGGAUUGAGUGAACAUGAUUUAGAAAAAUUUAUGGCUGAUUUUAGAAAUUUUAUGCAGACAGUAAAGCAAAAAGAAAUGGUGAUGAGUAAAAAAAGAAAAAUAGAAAAGCAGCAGUAUUAUCGCAACAAAAAAACCUAAAUAAAUUUAUUCAUAACAAAAUGUUUAUAACUAUUUUAUUAUUGCAUGACAUUGCUAUUGUGAGUUCCCUAUUCUGGUAUUAUAUCUAAGUGGUGUGGGCUGUUUGUUUUCAUGUAAUUCGUUGGCCCUUGGUGAAGGAUACUUAUAAAAUAUAUUUUUUUAUUUUGUUUACUUUGUUAUAAUUAAAUAAUAUAUUAGUGUUUGUUUCA